ensembl:lncRNA
AUGUGUAAUGUACCACAAACCUUCAAGGAAGCCAUGAGUUCAACCAAAUCACAGAUCUGGAUUAAAGCCAUGGAAGAAGAGAUGGAUUCUCUAAAAGAAAAUGGAACUUUUACGUUGAUGGCUCUACCCGAAGGCAAACAUGCAGUGGGGGGUAGAUGGGUCUAUGCAAUCAAGAACAAUGCAGAUAACAAUGAAACGUAUAAGGCUAAAUAUGUUGCUAAGGGUUAUAGUCAAGUAAUGGGAAGAGACUAUAAGGAAACUUUUUCUCCGACAGCAAAUAUCACAUCAGUUCGUGUCUUGAUGCAAAUGGCAGCACAGUAUGACCUUGUUCUACAUCAGAUGGAUGUGAAAACGGCUUACUUACAUGCUCCAAUUGAUUGUGAGAUCUAUGUGGAACAGCCAGAAGGUUUUGAGGUAAAAUCGGAUACUGGUGAAAAACUUGUCUGUAAACUGAACAAGUCAUUGUAUGGUCUGAAACAGGCAGGUAGAAACUGGAAUAAGGUACUGCAUGAUUACCUGAGUGAAAAUGACUUUAUGCAAAAUCCUGCAGACUCUUGUGUCUACAGCAGACAGACUGGAAAAGAGAGAGUGAUGCUAAUAAUCUGGGUUGAUGAUCUGAUUAUUGCUUCUAGUACCAACGAGUUACUAAAUGAUGUGAAAAGGAUGCUGACAGCUAAAUUCAAGAUGAAAGACCUUGGUAAAUUGAAACAUUUCCUAGGCAUUGAUUUUGAGCAAAUGGAUGGAGUUGUGAAAAUUAAUCAAAAGGGGUACAUCUUAAAAAUACUGCAAAGGUUCAACAUGUCGAAUAGUAAGUCCAGGUUGACCCCAUGUGAACAAAAGCUAGCGUAUAACGGUGAUGGAAACUCUGUAAACCACACAAAGUAUCGUGAAGCAGUAGGUAGUUUGAUCUAUCUAAUGACAUGUACUAGACCAGAUCUUAGUUGGGCUGUGAGUAAAUUGUCUCAAUCUAUGUCAAAACCAAAUGAGCAACACUGGUGUACAGUGAAGCAUGUGAUGAGGUAUCUGAAAGGUACAGUAAACCAAGAACUGACGUACAAGAAGAGUACCGAGAAGCUGAAACUUACGGCAUACAGCGAUGCUGACUGGGCAUCAGAUCCAAAUGACAGACGAAGUACGACUGGAUACUGUUUUAGUCUAACCAAAAAUGGUCCCCUCAUUUCCUGGAAGUCAAAGAAGCAGCCUACAGUUGCUUUGUCAACAUGCGAAGCGGAAUAUAUGGCACUGGCUGCGACCACACAAGAAAGUCUGUACCUUGUACAAUUGAUGAAUGGACUGGAAAAUGGAUGUCAGUAUGCACCGGUAAAAAUCUUUGAGGAUAACCAAGGUGCAAUUGCUCUUUCCAAAAACCCUGUUUGUCGACAAAGAUGUAAACACGUUGACGUUAGGUACCACUUUAUUCGAUCAGCAAUUAGUGAUGGUAAAAUAACAAUUGAGUACUGUCCAACAACAGAAAUGGUUGCUGAUGUGAUGACUAAACCAAUGACGAAGUAUAAGAAAGAAAAGGUUGAAAGCUUUAUGUUUGGGGCAUAA